rnacentral:rRNA from 1 species
AUAGCGUAUAUUAAAGUUGUUGCGGUUAAAAAGCUCGUAGUUGGAUCUCAGUUCCAGACGGGUGGUCCGCCUACCGGUGGUUACUGCCUGUUCUGAACAGCCAGCCGGUUUCUCUUGAUGAUCUUCACCGGUUGUCUUGGGUGACCGGCAAGUUUACUUUGAAAAAAUUAGAGUGCUCAAAGCAGGCGUGACGCCUGAAUAAUGGUGCAUGGAAUAAUGGAAUAGGACCUCGGUUCUAUUUUGUUGGUUUUCGGAACACGAGGUAAUGAUUAAGAGGGACAGACGGGGGCAUUCGUAUUGCGACGCUAGAGGUGAAAUCCUUGGAUUUAUUGAAGACUAACUACUG